UACGUAGGGGGCAAGCGUUGUCCGGAAUCAUUGGGCGUAAAGAGCGUGUAGGCGGCCCGGUAAGUCCGCUGUGAAAGUCCAGGGCUCAACCCUGGGAUGCCCGGUGGAUACUGUCGGGCUCGAGUCCGGAAGAGGAGUGUGGAAUUCCGUGGUGUAGCGGUGAAAUGCGUAGAUAUUGGGAGGAACACCAGUGGCGAAGGCGGCUCACUGGACCGGUACUGACGCGUGAUGCGCGAAAGCGUGGGGAGCAAACGGG
rnacentral:rRNA from 1 species